AUUACAGCACUUUUUUCAUCAUGCUUGAAGAUAUUGAUUUGCAAAUUUAAAAUUCAAGAGUCUAUCCUAAAUUGAGGAAAAUUAUAUGGCCUUCCAAAUUCUUUUCGAUCCCUAACAUCUCUGAAGAGACAUUAAUUGUCAAAAUCCAGAUAUGGUGUACAAAUUUUAGCACCUCAUGUUUGUGGUUUACCAUCUUUGCCGC
rnacentral:lncRNA from 1 species